rnacentral:lncRNA from 1 species
CUUCCCUCUUUCCUUUCUCUGUCUCUUUUGUGUGAGAGAGAGAUUCUCAGAGUACGCGAAAUGUACUAAAGCAAUGGGAAAGUUCCAUUCCAACAUGGCAUUGACGUGUGGGGAAGAUAGACUAACGACAUCACCAUGGCAAUACUGUUUCAAAUCCUUUGGAAGGAUCAAGCUCGUGAACAAGGACCAAUUGUCACCAGCGUUGACUAAGGUGUGGAGAUUUCUAAGUAAAUCAUUUCAAUUAAAGCGCAUAAAACACGUGUUUAGCUUUGCAUACAACCUUACUUGUGAUACACCUCCUCUAAUUUGAUGUCAAAUUCUCUUUCUCAUCCAUAUA